ACUCAAAUGAAUAGACGGGGACCCGCACAAGCGGUGGAGCGUGUUGUUUAAUUCGAUGAUAAGCGAAGAACCUUACCAAGGUUUGACAUCCCGAGAAUAUAUCCGAAAGGAAAUAGUGCCGCAAGGAACUCGGUGACAGGUGCUGCAUGGCCGUCGUCAGCUCGUGUCGUGAGAUGUUUGGUUAAGUCCAUCAACGAGCGCAACCCUUUUAGUUAGUUGUAUUUUUCUAGCUAGACUGCCCUGGCAACAGGGAGGAAGGAGGGGAUGAUGUCAGGUCAGUAUUGCCCUUACACCUUGGGCUACAAACACGCUACAAUGGCCGGUACAAAGGGCUGCCAACCCGCGAGGGGGAGCAAAUCCCAUCAAAGCCGGUCUCAGUUCGGAUUGUAGGCUGAAACUCGCCUGCAUGAAGCCGGAAUCGCUAGUAAUGGUAGGUCAGCACACUACCGUGAAUACGUUCCCGGGUCUUGUACACACCGCCCGU
rnacentral:rRNA from 1 species